GUGCUGAUCAAGAGAAAGUAUUUCGGCAUCGUGUUUUCCGCGAAUCAUGUGUUUUGUGAUGGCAACUACCUCAAAGAUUUGUCUGUUCUUGGGCGUGAUCUGUCCCGUGUUAUUAUAGUUGACAACUCCCCACAGGCAUUUGGAUUCCAAGUGGACAAUGGGAUACCAAUUGAGAGCUGGUUCGAUGAUCGCACGGAUCAAGAAUUGCUUUUAUUACUUCCAUUUUUGGAGAGUUUGGUUGGAGUUGAAGAUGUAAGGCCACUGAUCGCAAAAAAAUUCAAUCUUCGGGAGAAAGUGGCAGCAGCUGUUUAUCCUCCCUUGAUCGCAAAUAAAGGAGAUCCUUUUGAAAGUGUUUAGCAAGUGCAGGAUUUGAAAUUAAUAUGCUGUAAUUCCAACCAGUGAUGGAGAAAGGAAAAAAAUAAUACCGUGAUCAGGUAGUCAUGCAGAGCCAGAGCAACGUGGGUAGCCCAAGAGACCCAGAACGACCUUCGAUUCGGAAAUGGAUAUUCGAGUUUAGAUUGAAUAAUCUCUGAAAUCAUCUUAAGCACAUAAAUUUUAUUAAUUUACCAGAAUUACAAGAACCAAAUUUAUUGUUUGACCAAAAGUAUUACGCAUAUUUUCUUGCCCACAAAUUUGUGUUGGAACAUGUAUUGCUUGAUUACCCC